rnacentral:rRNA from 1 species
UACGUAGGGUGCAAGCGUUAAUCGGAAUUACUGGGCGUAAAGCGUGCGCAGGCGGUGAUGUAAGACAGUUGUGAAAUCCCCGGGCUCAACCUGGGAACUGCAUCUGUGACUGCAUCGCUGGAGUGCGGCAGAGGGGGAUGGAAUUCCGCGUGUAGCAGUGAAAUGCGUAGAUAUCGGAAGGAACAUCAGUGGCGAAAGCGGCUUCCUGGACCAGCACCGACGUUCAGGCACGAAAGCGUGGGGAGCAAACAGG